rnacentral:rRNA from 1 species
UGUGUGAAGAAGGCCUUCGGGUUGUAAAGCACUUUUGUCCGGAAAGAAAUCGCGCUGGCUAAUACCUGGCGUGGAUGACGGUACCGGAAGAAUAAGCACCGGCUAACUACGUGCCAGCAGCCGCGGUAAUACGUAGGGUGCGAGCGUUAAUCGGAAUUACUGGGCGUAAAGCGUGCGCAGGCGGUUUUGUAAGACAGGCGUGAAAUCCCCGGGCUCAACCUGGGAAUUGCGCUUGUGACUGCAAGGCUAGAGUGCGUCAGAGGGGGGUAGAAUUCCACGUGUAGCAGUGAAAUGCGUAGAGAUGUGGAGGAAUACCGAUGGCGAAGGCAGCCCCCUGGGACGAGACUGACGCUCAUGCACGAAAGCGUGGGGAGCAAACAGGAUUAGAUACCCUGGUAGUCCACGCCCUAAACGA